rnacentral:rRNA from 1 species
GACGAACGCUGGCGGCGUGCCUAAUACAUGCAAGUCGAGCGCUGACGGAUGGUACGUGUACUAACUGGGUGAGCGGCGGACGGGCGAGUAAGGCGUGGGGAAGCUGCCUUUGAGUGGGGGACAACAUCUGGAAACGAAUGCUAAUACUACAUAAAAACUUUAAACACAAGAUUUAAGUUUGAAUGAUGCAAUUGCAUCACUCAUAGAUGAUUGCGCGUUGUAUUAGGUAGUUGGGGAGGUAAAGGCUCAACAAGGCGGUCAUACCUAGUCGGGCUGAAUGGGUUGUUGGCCACCAUGGGACUGGGACCAGGCCCAAGCUCCCACGGGAGGCAGCAGGAGGGAAACUUCGGACAUGGACGAAAAUCUGGCCCAACACAGACGGGUGAGUGAAGAAAGGUCUCGGAUCGUAAAACUCCGUUUGUAGAGAAGAAAGUUGAUGAGAGUGGAACGCUCAUCAAGUGACGGUAACUACACAAAAAGCAACGGCUAACUACGUG